CUAGUAUGAGAGGGUUUUGGUUGGGGUUUGCAAAUUGCAACUGCACUUUUGAAGUGUCUUCUUCUUCACAUUGCAUGUAUCAAUCAUAAACAGAUAACCCUUUCAGAUUCAGUAUCACACACACAACAAUCUGGUGAGUCUAUUUUCAUUUUCCUUAAUCUUAAUUUCUUGCUUUUAUCCGAAGAAAAACAAUGGAAACUACACAGUUAUCACUCACUUCACCAAAACUCUCCUUUUUAUCAUCUUCUUCUACCCCUUUAUCAUUUUUCAUCUCAAACAAACUUCAAUUUCUGAAAAAGCCUAAUCUUUCUGUCAAACUCAAUUGUUCACUUCAAAAAUCCCAAUUUUUGGGAACCAAUUUAGGUUUGUUUGUUCCAUCCCAUGUCGAUAGACCUAGGUUUCAAAUUGGGCCAAUAAGAGCUGCUGUGAAGAGAAGAAAAGAGAGGCCUUUUGAUAAUGUGAUUCAGAAAGACAAGAAGCUUAAAUUUGUUCUCAAGGUGAGGAAAUUACUAGUGAGUCAACCUAAUAGGGUUAUGUCUCUUCAGGAAUUGGGUAAGCAUAAAAGGGAUUUAGGGUUAGAUAAAAAGAGGAGAUUGAUUGCAGUCUUGAGGAGAUUUCCUGGUGUUUUUGAGAUUUUGGAAGAAGGGUGUUUUUCUCUUAAGUUCAAAAUGACUUCUGAGGCUGAAAGGCUUUAUCUUGAGGAGUUGAGGGUUAGGAAUGGAAUGGAAGAUGUUGUAGUUACUAAGCUUAGGAAAUUGUUGAUGAUGUCUUUGGAAAAGAGGAUUUUGUUAGUGAAAAUUGCUCAUUUGGCAACUGAUUUGGGAUUACCGAGAGAAUUUCGCGACACGGUUUGUCAUAGGUAUCCGGAGUUUUUCAAAGUUGUUGAGACGGAAAGAGGUCCUGCGCUUGAAUUAACACAUUGGGAUCCUCAGCUUGCGGUUUCUGCGGCUGAGUUAUCUGCGGAAGAUAAUCGAAUUAGAGAAAUGGAAGAGCAGAAUUUUAUUAUAGAUAGGGCUCCUAAAUUCAAUAGAGUGAAGCUUCCUAAGGGUCUUAAUCUUUCAAAAGGUGAGAUGAGAAAGAUAAUGCAGUUCAGAGACAUUCCUUAUAUAUCGCCUUACUCGGAUUUCUCAAUGCUUCGUUCGGGGACGCCGGAGAAAGAGAAGCAUGCUUGCGGAGUUAUUCAUGAGAUUUUGAGUCUCACACUUGAGAAGCGGACUCUUGUUGACCACAUGACCCAUUUCCGUGAAGAGUUUAGAUUCUCUCAGCAGUUGAGAGGGAUGUUGAUAAGACAUCCUGAUAUGUUUUAUAUCUCUUUGAAAGGAGACAGGGAUUCUGUGUUUCUUAGGGAAGCUUAUCGAGAUUCUCAGUUGGUAGACAAGGACAGAUUGUUACUUAUAAAGGAGAAACUUCGCUCUCUGGUUGAAGUUCCACGGUUUCGUAAAGGUAGGGGUGCUGCCCACACUAGAGUUGGAGAUGGCACGGAAGAGAAUGAUAUUGAUAACAGACAAGACGAAAGUGGUGAUGAGGAACAAGAAUGGUCAGAUGGUGAUGAUUUUAACAGUGAUGGUGAUGACGGCGACGAUAAUGAUGAUGACUGGAUUGACGAAGAAGAUGAUGAUGAUGAUGAUGAUGAUGAUGAUACAGCGCUAGAUUUUGAUGACGAAGAAGAAGAAGAUUUUGAUGAUGAUGAUGAUGAUGAUGAUGAUGAUGAUGAUGAAGGCGUAAAACAGAAUAAUGAAAAGGUCCUUGCUCCAUCAUUCCCCGAUGGUCGUCUCAGAGAACGGUGGUAAUCUUGAAAAGCCUUGCAAGCUCAUGCUCAGAAUUUUUCUUGGAAGAAUAUGAACAAAGACGUAGAUGUUAUGUCCAAAUCAUAGCAAAAUGUCGAACUGAUUUAGAUGACUAUAUCUGCUGUAUAAUAGAUUGAUGCUUCUUAGAAGAUUAUAAUAAGCUAUGGCUUAUACGGCAUUUGGCAUGGCUACAUCUCUGACAACGUUUGCGACUAACGAUAUUACGAAAGCGAGGAGUUGUCGUCGUCGGUUGUGAUCCUGCGUAGACAUGAGUAAGCGUUCCAUUAUGCAUAGAUCAUAUUUUGAUAACUAUCUAUGUUGUUCGUUCAAACGUAUACACGGUGCGUCGGUUCAACCGAAGCUUAAGGAGAAUGGAUCAAUGGGAAGUGGAACUUUGUUGUUUUUAGCUUUCUUAAUCAUUU